rnacentral:rRNA from 1 species
UACGUAGGGGGCAAGCGUUGUCCGGAAUCAUUGGGCGUAAAGAGCGUGUAGGCGGUUCGGUAAGUCGGCUGUGAAAGUCCAGGGCUCAACCCCUGGGAUGCCGGUCGAUACUGCCGGACUAGAGUUCGGAAGAGGCGAGUGGAAUUCCCGGUGUAGCGGUGAAAUGCGCAGAUAUCGGGAGGAACACCUAUGGCGAAGGCAGCUCGCUGGGACGUUACUGACGCUGAGACGCGAAAGCGUGGGGAGCAAACAGG